rnacentral:tmRNA from 1 species
GGGGGUGUCAUGGUUUCGACAGGUAUCGUUCGAACCUUGGAUGCGUCAGGUAGGCAGCGACUACCUCAAAAACGCUACAGUUAAAUAUAACUGCAAACAAUAACAACAAUUUAGCUUUAGCUGCCUAAAAACAGCGAGCUAAGAUCAGCCUAAUAUCGCCCAUGUAUUAGUUCCUGGUCUCAAUUAUAGUGGGAUACGCUAGGCCUUUCCGUCUGUAAGUCCUAGAAGAGAUGAUCAGACUCGCGAAUGCAGAUGCCUGUUGGUCGGCUAUGCAGGAGCUAACUCUAAUAGACACAACUAUUGGCGUAGAUUCCUUGGUGGCGAGGUAUUUGGACAGGGGUUCGACUCCCCUCAUCUCCAGUU